rnacentral:rRNA from 1 species
UCCAGACUCCUACGGGAGGCAGCAGUGGGGAAUAUUGCACAAUGGGGGAAACCCUGAUGCAGCAACGCCGCGUGAGUGAAGAAGUAUUUCGGUAUGUAAAGCUCUCUCAGCAGGGAAGAAAAUGACGGUACCUGAGUAAGAAGCCCCGGCUAACUACGUGCCAGCAGCCGCGGUAAUACGUAGGGGGCAAGCGUUAUCCGGAUUUACUGGGUGUAAAGGGAGCGUAGACGGCCAGACAAGUCUGAAGUGAAAAUCCAGCGCUUAACGUUGGAAGUGCUUUGGAAACUGCCGGGCUAGAGUGCAGGAGGGGCAGGCGGAAUUCCUAGUGUAGCGGUGAAAUGCGUAGAUAUUAGGAGGAACACCAGUGGCGAAGGCGGCCUGCUGGACUGCAACUGACGUUGAGGCUCGAAGGCGUGGGGAGCAAACAGGAUUAGAUACCCUGGUAA